UAUAGUGUAGUUUAUUUAAAAAACAUUUAUUUUCCAAAUAAAAAAAACUUAUGUGUUAUUAUAA
rnacentral:tRNA from 1 species